GUGGCAGCAGCCGCGGUAAAACCAGCACCUCAAGUGGUCAGGAGGAUUAUUGGGCCUAAAGCAUCCGUAGCCGGCUAUGUUAGUUUUCGGUUAAAUCCAUGUGCUCAACACAUGGGCUGUCGAGAAUACUGCAUAGCUAGGGAGUGGGAGAGGUAGACGGUACUCGGUAGGAAGGGGUAAAAUCCUUUGAUCUAUUGAUGACCACCAGUGGCGAAGGCGGUCUACCAGAACACGUCCGACGGUGAGGGAUGAAAGCUGGGGGAGCAAACCGGAUUAGAUACCCGGGUAGUCCCAGCUGUAAACUAUGCAAACUCAGUGAUGCAUUGGCUUGUGGCCAGUGCAGUGCCGCAGAGAAGUCGUUAAGUUUGCCGCCUGGGAAGUACGUACGCAAGUAUGAAACUUAAAGGAAUUGGCGGGGGAGCACCACAAGGGGUGAAGCCUGCGGUUCAAUUGGAGUCAACGCCAGAAAUCUUACCCGGGGAGACAGCAGAAUGAAGGUCAAGCUGAAGACUUUACCAGACAAGCUGAGAAGUGGUGCAUGGCCGUCGUCAGCUCGUGCCGUGAGAUGUCCUGUUAAGUCAGGUAACGAGCGAGAUCCCUGCCUCUAGUUGCCACCAUUACUCUCAGGAGUAGUGGGGCGAAUUAGCGGGACUGCCGCAGUUAAUGCGGAGGAAGGAGGGGGCCACGGCAGGUCAGUAUGCCCUGAAACUCUGGGGCCACACGCGGGCUGCAAUGGUAGUGACAGUGAGUUCCUAAUCCGAAAGGAGGAGGUAAUCUUCAAACGCUACCACAGUUAUGACUGAGGGCUGCAACUCGCCCUCACGAAUAUGGAAUCCCUAGCAACUGCGUGUCAUUACCGCGCGGUGAAUACGUCCCUGCUCCUUGCACACACCGCCCGUC
rnacentral:rRNA from 1 species